UAUGGUCACAUCAUGUUGAAACACCAGUUCCAAUAUGAUCACUGAAAUUAAGCAACAUACAGUCAGGUCAGCACCUAAAUGGGUGACUGCUUGGGAAUACCAGGUGCUGUAAG